AACGAACGCUGGCGGCAGGCCUAACACAUGCAAGUCGAGCGAUCCUUCGGGAUAGCGGCGGACGGGUGAGUAACGCGUGGGAAUAUGCCCUUCACUACGGAAUAGCCCAGGGAAACUUGGAUUAAUACCGUAUACGCCCUUUGGGGGAAAGAUUUAUCGGUGAAGGAUUAGCCCGCGUUGGAUUAGGUAGUUGGUGGGGUAAUGGCCUACCAAGCCUACGAUCCAUAGCUGGUUUGAGAGGAUGAUCAGCCACACUGGGACUGAGACACGGCCCAGACUCCUACGGGAGGAAGCAGUGGGGAAUCUUAGACAAUGGGGGCAACCCUGAUCUAGCCAUGUUGCGUGGGGGAUGAAAGCUGUUUUGGUUGUAAACCCCUAAUUUAAGAUAAAUCUGUAGCUACAUACAACUGCAUUUUGCGAAAUAGUUACAGAUUUAGAGGAUGAUGACGUACGCUUAAAGAAAAGUCCCGGCUAACUCUGUGCCAGCCGCCGCCGUAAGAC
rnacentral:rRNA from 1 species